rnacentral:lncRNA from 1 species
GCAUCCUCAGCAGCCACAGGCAAGGUAAGUUUGGGAUUUGCAUCUUCCUCAGCUUACCUGGCUAAGCUGGCUAGUUUUAUGUCAGCACGAAACAGUGCAUAGUCCUCAGAAAGGAAGGAACCUCAACUGAGAAAAUGUCUUCCUAAGAGGGCAGCUCGUUGUGAGUGGUGCCAGCCCUGGGCUGGUGGUCCUCGGUUCUGUAAGAAAGCAGGCCAUACAGCAAGCCACAAGGAACAAGCCACUGAGCAGCGCACCUUCAUGGCUUCUGCAUCGGCUCAUGCAUCCAGGUUCCUGCCCUGAUUUCUUCUCAUGAUAAACAGCGAUGUGGAACACCUAUACAAUAACCCCAAAGUCGGUGGCGGGAGAGGCUACCCCUCAGGAGCAGCUGUCUGCAUGGGCUGAGCAGAGAUGGCUAAAGUGCUUGCUGAAAGCACAUUGACAAACAAGUGACCUAGAGCCACACUUCCUGCCUCUCAAAACCAAAUCUGCCAGUCAGUGAUGUGGGGUGAGAAGGCAUAGUUUCAGUUUGCACCCAUCCUACACCCUCUGAGGCUGACCUACAGACCUCCUUCCUCUUCCUCAGGCUCGGAGUUCACGUUGCUCUGCUCAGACAUUCGAGCCACCGGUGUGGUUGGUGGAACUCUGGCU